CUGCUUGCAUUGGUAGCACAUAUACUAAAAUUGGGAUGAUACAGAGAAGAUUAGCAUGGAUUUGUGCAAGAAUGACACACAAAUUCGUGAAGCACUCCUUAUUUUU